rnacentral:hammerhead_ribozyme from 1 species
AUCUAGUUGACGAGUCCCAACCUGGACGAAGUGUGCAUCCUGGAU